rnacentral:lncRNA from 1 species
AACUCACGCACACCUGGGACUCCUCCAGCUGCCGCCUGCCGCAGCCCCCUUCCCGCCAUGUGACCUAAUCGUCACUCCACCUGCUUCUCUUCAGGGCUGCCAGCCCCAUCCCUGCAGUGCCAAAAUGAGACCUGGGGAGGUUUGAACAAGACCUACCUUCUCCAUGCCCGAACCAGCCAACUCCCAGGAAUUUCACGGCAAAUUAGGAGAGAUUGAGGUACACUGGAAGGAAAGGCCAGAUCUGGCAAUGAAUCAGCUUGGUUGUUUGGGGAUCAAAUAAAAUUGGACCCGCAGCCUCGGCUCUACAACAGAAUCACAGUCUCUCUUUCGGCCUGGUAGGUGCGCUGGGUGGAGAGAACAUGCACAGCUGUUGGGGCCCCCUUCUUUACAUACGGAUGUUGGUUUAAAAUUCUGAAAUACAACAAGGAGGAGAGGCGAGAGCUGGGGUCUGGGUCUUUGAAGUGCACAGAGGGCUUCUAUUCAGCUGACUAAGAGUGCUGGGGUAAGAAGUCUCACUAACACCUGAUCUGCAUCUUAGGAAGGUCAAGAUCCAGAGAAGAAGAUGGACGAGCUGUCCACAGACACCCGACUUUCCAGCCCAGGAAGAGAGACAGAGCCAGAGAAGCUGCUGGUUCUGUUUGGGGUUCAGCAACUUCUGGUGGAGGAGAUGGGGUCGGAGCUGAGAUUUGAGAGGUGCAAGGUGGUGUCCUUCUCUCCAUGACCUAUCGGCGGGACACUGCUCUAUUGUGUCUGACGUUGUUUUGCAGCAUCCUUGCCUCAACCUUCUGUCAUGAGAGCAGUCCAAGGUUAACAGCGGUAAUCACCUGUGGAAACUGCCAACAAACAUGAAUAACUCUUCUGGGGCCAAUUUUUCUCAAGGAAGUAAUAAAGCAGUCUUGUGGCUCCUGGCAGGACGCAUGGAUGUCUUUCUCAGGCUCCUCACUGCCUCGUGACUCUGAGCAUACAACGCACUCUGCUCAUCCACUGCCUUUGGGAAGGAGAAUCGAUUGACUCACACCUCAUUUUGAUGGUGCGAAUCAGUCAAUCAAUCAGUUGAAAGUACUCACUGUGUGCUUGGUGUUGCCAUUUCUUUGUGCCCAAAGUGCAGAAAAGAUGAAAAAAUGAGAAGAUAAAGCAUGCCGACUGUAUAAGUAAGCAAAUUUGUUCUUUUAAAACAGAGUGUCACUUUCAGAAGUUGCUGGAGUGACCAGUGCAGUUUUU